UGAGGAUGCCACAGUGUGAGGAACCCAGGCCAUAUAGAACAGCCAGUUGCAGGCUUUCCUGUCAACAAUCCCUGUCAGAGCAGCAGAUGUAAGUGAAUUUAGAGGUCAAGGACCCCUGGCCUCACCUUGACAGAAUUAUGUCUCUUCGGGAGCUUCCUAGCGCUGUUCCAGCCACUGCUCCAGAUCUCAGGAUAUAAAUGAAAUUCAAGAUAUCUUUGGCUCUCAGCAAAUCAUGCCUGGAUGAUAAGAAAUAGAUGAGACAUGCUCCUGUUUGAGCAAUUGGAGCAGGAAGCAGCGGCUCAUCACCAAGGGAAUUAGGGCUUCUUUGGGGAAGGGAAUUUCAGGACCUAUGAAUGAGAAGAAAUUGUUGGGAAAGGGGGAGUCCUUCUAGAACCUUGAAAUCACCUAAUUAAGCAGUUGUCAACUUGCCUGUGGUAA